rnacentral:rRNA from 1 species
CCGGCGCACGGGUGAGUAACGCGUGUGCAACCCUGCCCCGGGCCACAGUGGGAUAAUCCGGAGAAAUCCGGUCUAAUACCGCAUGACGCGGGAAAGGCGCAUGCCUUUUCCGCCAAAGGUAGGCGACUCCCGGUGCCGGCUGGGCACGCGGUGACAUUAGCUAGUUGGCGGGGCGACGGCCCGACCAAGGCGGACGAUGUCUAGGGGUUCGUGAGAGGAAGGUCCCCCACCACUGGUACUGAGACACGGACCAGACUCCUACGGGAGGCAGCAG